rnacentral:rRNA from 1 species
ACCCGAUAGAUCUAGAAUGCUGGAAUGCUUUUAGAUCCAAAGUUCCGACGCCUCAGGAUGGGUCUGCGGCCUAUCAGGGUAGUAGUAGGUGUAACGUACCUACUAGCCUACGACGGGUACGGGUUGUGAGAGCAAGAGCCCGGAGAUGGAUUCUGAGACACGAAUCCAGGCCCUACGGGGUGCAGCAGGCGCGAAACCUUUACAAUGCUGGCAACAGCGAUAAGGGGACCUCGAGUGCCACGAUACAAUCGUGGCUGUCUAGUUGCCUAAAAAGCAAUUGAUAGCAAGGGCCGGGCAAGACCGGUGCCAGCCGCCGCGGUAACACCGGCGGCUCGAGUGGUAACCGCUAUUAUUUGGUCUAAAGGGUCUGUAGCCGGCUUAGUCAGUCUCUUGAGAAAUCUGGCCGCUCAACGGUCAGGCGUUCAGGGGAUACUGCUAAAGCUCGAGACCGGGAGAGGUGAGAGGUACUUCAGGGGUAGGGGUGAAAUCUUGUAAUCCUUGAAGGACCACCAGUGGCGAAGGCGUCUCACCAGAACGGAUCUGACGGCAAGGGACGAAAGCUAGGGGCACGAACCGGAUUAGAUACCCGGGUAGUCCUAGCCGUAAACGAUACUCGCUAGGUGUCGGCCACGGUGCGACCGUGGUCGGUGCCGUAGGGAAGCCGUGAAGCGAGCCACC